UCCCUGAUGGUCCAGUGGUUAAGACUCCUCACUCCCAAUGCAGGAGGCCAGGGUUCAAUCCCUGGUCAGAGAA
rnacentral:tRNA from 1 species